CGAGAGAGCUAUGUAGUUGCUAUGUAUUAGAGGAAAGUCCGGACUCCACAGAAAAAAAGUGCUGGAUAACUUCCAGCGGGGGCAACCCUAGGGAAAGUGCAACAGAAAUAAUACCGCCAUGAUUUUGGUAAGGGUGAAAUGGUGUGGUAAGAGCACACCGCGUUUAUAGCGAUAUAAAUGGCAGUGCAAACCCCACUUGGAGCAAGACCAAAUAGAAGAAACAAUAAGUUUUUCUGCUUAGUUUCUUGGGUGGGUCGCUAGAAAAACUUGGUAACAAGUUUUCGAGAUGAAUAACUACAAUCAUAUAAUGAUACAGAAUCCGGCUUAUUAGCUCUCUCAUAAA
rnacentral:RNase_P_RNA from 1 species